UAGCAGGGCCCGUGGACCAUACCAGUGGGCGGGAGAACCUUCCCGACUGUUCUGGCGGGCGUGGCGGCGCGGGACCGCGGCACAUAAAAGCCCGGCGAGGGGGCGGGGCGGCAUCAGUUCCCAACUCAGACGAAUAAAUGUGCAACAAGCAGCGCGAGAACACUGCUGACUACAGGACACUCCACAACUUACAGCAACAUUGUCCCGUGAACCAGUGCCACUACUGUGCACCGCACAACCUUUAUUCAAGCUACCGACGUCUUCUUGCACCAAACACAGACAGGUUGCUGUUCAUCAUCAAGUGAUAAUGGCUAAAAGACAGUACAAGGAUGAAUACCUUAACCUAGGUUUCACACACAUAACUCACCAGGGCGUACUUAAACCACAAUGUGUUAUUUGCAAAUUGCAAACAUCAGCAAGCUACAGGAGCAGCUUAUUGAGAUCCAGAAUGACAAAACACUUCAUUACGAUUUCAAAAGGCAAAAUGAAUCAUUGAGUUCAUUUUGGAUCAAAGUUUAUAAAGAAAAGCCCAAUCUUGGAGGUGAAGCCCUGUAAACGCUAAUUCCCUUUGCUACAACUUUCCUGUGUGAGGCAGGAUUUUCAGCCCUCACAGUCACAAAGACAAAAUACAGAAACUGUUUGCAACCAGAGAAUGACCUAAGAUGCAGCCUAUCAUCAAAAUCACCCAGAUUUGAAGGGCUGACGAAAACAAUCCAGUCAAGGAUCCCAUUGAAUUUAAUACUAUAUCUCAUGUCAAGUAGGAUUGUAGGAAUAAUUUAUCUUUUCCACAACGGUAAAUUAUAGCCUAAUUAUACAUUUCAUUUUAUAUAUUGAAACAUUUUGAUUUUGAUUCUAGUAAAUCCUCCUGCACUGAUUUAUUUCUCAUGGAUCUACUUGUAUCAAUAAAAAUCUCUGCAUAUGA